rnacentral:rRNA from 1 species
GAUGAACGCUGGCGGCGUGCCUAACACAUGCAAGUCGAACGGCAAGACGAGGAGAUUGUGCUUUUGCCGUUAGCGGGUGGCGGGUGAGUAACGAGUGGAUCACCUUCUUAUAUUUCGUGGAUAAUUACGGAGAACCGGAGAUAAUAAUAGCUCAUAUAAUCUACCGCUUGGUGCAGUGGUGAUUGACGGCUUUCUCGACUCUAAUAGCUGGUUCCGCGCUGCAUUUGUUAGGUGGUAAGGUAACGGCUUACCAAGGCUGCGAAGCGUAGCUGAGCUGAGAGGGUGGUCGGCCACACUGGAACUGGGACACGGGCCAGGCUCCUACGGGAGGCAGCAGUAGGGAAUCUUCGGCAAUGGGCGGAAGCCUGACGGAGCAACGCCGCGUGAGUGAUGAAAGUCUUCGGAUCUGAAAACUCUGUUUUUAGGGAAAGAAAAGUGUGUAAGUAACUAUGCACUGCUUGACGGUAACUAAUAAAAAAGCCACGGGUAACUACGUG